CCAUUUCCCGGCAGAAAUCUGGAGAGCUCCACUCUACAGACUACAGUUCGCCUCAGGCCGAAGUGCCAAACUUCUACACAAAGACAGACAAAAUUACAAAUAACUCGCAAGAUCGUCUUUGUAUUCUCGUGUCGCUGGAACCUGCGGUUACGGAUUCACAAACUGAACCUGUGCUUGGCGACGAUUUCCGGUCAGGAUGAUGGGAAAACCAGUUCCCUAUCCGUCCUCUCCGGUCUGCACCCUACAGCGAUCGCUUCUCACUUUUGCCGCUUUAACCCUAAUUUCCUUCACUUAUGUCUCCUUCAAAUCUCUCCGUUUCCCACUUCAGUACGGGUCGGAUCUCUCGGAAAAUCCUCCUAAAGUUAAGGUCGUUGCAGAGGGAGAUUUUGUGGAACUUUCAGACAUCUAUCACUCUCCGAAGGUUUUCCUGCUGAAUUACGCGGAAAUGGAGAAGAACUUUAAAGUUUACAUAUAUCCCGAUGGAGAUCCCAAUACUUUUUACCAGACGCCGAGGAAGCUUACGGGAAAAUACGCAAGCGAGGGUUAUUUCUUCCAGAAUAUUAGAGAGAGCCGAUUUCGUACGGAUGAUCCAGAUCAGGCUGAUCUUUUCUUCAUUCCGAUUUCUUGUCACAAGAUGAGAGGAAAAGGCACAUCUUAUGAGAACAUGACGAUAAUUGUCCAAAAUUAUAUCGAAAGCCUAAUAUCGAAGUACCCUUACUGGAAUAGAACUCUGGGUGCCGAUCAUUUUUUUGUUACUUGUCAUGAUGUUGGUGUCAGGGCAACUGAAGGAGUUCCGUUACUUGUUAAGAAUUCAAUUAGAGUUGUCUGUUCUCCUAGCUAUGAUGUUGGAUUCAUUCCACACAAGGACGUAGCUCUCCCUCAAGUAUUGCAGCCAUUUGCUCUUCCAGCUGGUGGGAAUGACAUAGAAAAUAGGACAACUCUUGGCUUCUGGGCAGGUCAUCGCAAUUCUAAAAUAAGAGUUAUUUUAGCACAUGUGUGGGAGAAUGACACAGAACUUGAUAUCAUGAACAAUAGAAUAAACAGAGCCACUGGACAUCUGGUUUAUCAAAAGAGAUUUUACAAGACUAAGUACUGUAUAUGCCCUGGAGGUUCCCAGGUCAAUAGUGCUCGAAUAGCUGAUUCAAUUCAUUAUGGGUGUAUUCCAGUGAUACUAUCUAAUUAUUAUGACUUACCAUUUAAUGACAUCCUUGAUUGGCAUAAGUUUUCUGUCAUACUCAAUGAGCAAGAUGUGUACCAACUCAAGGACAUUCUCAAAGGCAUACCUGAUACAGAAUUUGUUACACUUCACAACAAUUUGGUCAAGGUUCAGAAGCAUUUCCAAUGGAAUACACCUCCUGUCAGAUUCGAUGCAUUCCAUAUGGUCAUGUACGACCUUUGGCUGCGUCACCGUGUCAUCAAAUACUGAAGUGUCGGAGAAUUCUAUAAUCCUUCUUGUACGCGUUGACGUUUCUGUGUCAGUCACAGUAAGAGCGACUUAUCUUGGUCCCACUGAUCCAGAAAGCUUGUAAUAUCAUUACAUACAAGUUUUUCUUUGAAUUCGUUUUGGGUGAAGAACUGAUCAGGAAUUCUGAACCUAGACUAAAUGAAACGGAAGAUCCACAAGCAAGUUGGUUUGGCAAGAAAUGGCCACGAGAUGAGCCGAUUGACGUAUGCCAACGUAUGUUGCGAUGGUAGAUAGACCUCCCUUCCUCACCAGAAGGUUAAGUUUAUGGAUUGCUUUUUUCAAUAUAACGUCACCGACCUGAUCAACGGCAUUUUGUUUGCCUUCUGCCAUGGAAUUGAUCCACUUUCCUUUUAACCAAAAGUAGCAUAUCGUCAUGCCACAUUCAGGGUCUGUUUUGACUUUUGAUAAUUGUUGAACCGAAAAAUAGAAAGCUGAAGUAAAAGGAGCUUGAAUAUAUCUAUAGAAAAAAAGCUUAAAUAUAGGGGUUGUUGGUGUAUGAUAUAAAGAACUAUUAUUAUAAAUUUAUAAUUGCAAAUUUGCAAUGUUGUGACAGUCACAAGUCGCAACAAUUUGUUUUU